UACGUAGGGGGCUAGCGUUGUCCGGAAUCAUUGGGCGUAAAGCGCGCGUAGGCGGCUCGGAAAGUCGGGCGUGAAAUGCCGGGGCUCAACCCCGGGACUGCGUCCGAUACUUCCGAGCUGGAGGUAGGUAGGGGAGAUCGGAAUUCCUGGUGUAGCAGUGAAAUGCGUAGAUAUCGAGAGGAACACCAGUGGCGAAGGCGAGUCUCUGGACACUUCCUGACGCUGAGGCACGAAAGCCAGGGGAGCAAACGGG
rnacentral:rRNA from 1 species